ACUCUCCCAAAAAGUUUUCCUCCUCGCCCUCUUUCAAUAGUUGGAUAUCACCUAUCCUUCUAUUGAAAUCUUUGAGAAUAACAAGGUACUCUCGUGAUCGUGUUCAAGAUUGUUCGAGGAAACGUUCGUAUUCAAGAUCGUUGGAGGAGUCGUUCAUUGGAACAUCGAGAGGAUCAUUUAGAAGCUUUGAAAAUCUACAAAGGAGUCAUGGAUCGAAUUGAUCAAUAUGGCAGCUUCCUUUCAGUUCCUAAUUAUUCUCUAGACUGAUUAAAGCUAUUUGUAUUAUUCUCUAGACUGAUUAAAGCUAUUUAGAUAGUAGCUUCUGCCAUAUAUCGAAGGCUGAGGGUUCAUCGAUUACCUGUCUGAAAACAUUAUCUUAGAUGUUAAGAACCAGUGUUGUAGUGGUUGUUUCGUCCAUGAAUUGCUUCUCCUCAGUAGUAAUUGAGUCAGGCUCUUUUCUUGAAUCUCCUUUACAGGCUCUGAUACCACUUGAUAUUACAAAGUGGUGAUGAGUGUUGUAUUUCAGAGGCUUUUACCACAUGGUGGUCUAUCUGAAUCAUGCAUGAAGUAUCGCUUUCUCUCCCUUACUUUACUUUCCUCUUCUUGCAUGCAUUUUCCGAGAGAGUGAAAACGAUUUCAAAGAAAGCUUUAGGGGAUCGUUCAAGAACAGCUUACACAUAUGAAAUGGAGAAGAAGAAUAUGAUAGUCAAGGUGAGAAGAACCGAAUCAACAGCAAGGUUCGGCCUUUCUUGCCUACAUCCACUCUGAAAAUAGCUAGGGAAGAGGUUGAAGAAUCCAUGUAUGUUGAAUACAAGAUAACCCCUCUCUCUUCUCUCUUUUCAUUUUGUUCUUCUAUUCUAUCUGCUUCAAAAAUUAGCUAUCAUACUGGCUUCUUAUCUUACAAAGUGGUGAUGAGUGCGUAUGCGAGAAACAUACCUAAGAGGGAGUUACAUAAAAACUUGUCAUUUAUGUGCUAAGAGCAAUGGAAAGAGACAUCAUAGUUGACAAAUAACACCAGGAAUGUUUGUGACACUGAG